AGAACGAACGCUGGCGGCAUGCCUAAUACAUGCAAGUCGAACGAACACUUCGGUGUUAGUGGCGCACGGGUGCGUAACGCGUGGGAAUCUGCCCUUGGGUUCGGAAUAACAGUUGGAAACGACUGCUAAUACCGGAUGAUAUCGAAAGAUCAAAGAUUUAUCGCCCAGGGAUGAGCCCGCGUAGGAUUAGCUAGUUGGUGAGGUAAAGGCUCACCAAGGCGACGAUCCUUAGCUGGUCUGAGAGGAUGAUCAGCCACACUGGGACUGAGACACGGCCCAGACUCCUACGGGAGGCAGCAGUAGGGAAUAUUGGACAAUGGGCGCAAGCCUGAUCCAGCAAUGCCGCGUGAGUGAUGAAGGCCUUAGGGUUGUAAAGCUCUUUACCCGAGAUGAUAAUGACAGUAUCGGAGAAUAAGCCCCGGAUAACGUCCGUGCCAGCAGCCGC
rnacentral:rRNA from 1 species